rnacentral:lncRNA from 1 species
UCCAGUGGCUUGGUGCAAUAGUGGCGCGUUGUGCCAAGGCCAAAAAUUAGGAUCUUCAGUUUUCAGCUUCUAUUUUUGAAUUUGUUCAGGGGUAUUUGGGUCUUUUUCCAUGGCCCUAUUUAACCUAAAUCAUGAAAUUUAACCCCUAAACACCCUAAGUUGUCAUUGUUAAUUCAAUUCCUCUCAUAAUCAAAAAUCCCCUUUUCAAGAACAAGAAACCCUAGCUUUCAA